GCCAAUGCUAGCCCUAAGCACAACCAACACUAAUACCAAGCCAACACACACUAAACCAUUUACCUACACAAAGUAUAGGCGAUAGAAAUUUUAAUCUGGCGCUAUAGACACAGUACCGUAAGGGAAAGAUAGAAAACCACCCAAGCACAAAACAGCAAGGACUAACCCCUGUACCUUUCGCAUAAUGAAUUAGCUAGAAACAAUUUCACAAAGAGGACUACAAGCCAAAUCCCCCGAAACCAGACGAGCUACCCAAAAACAGCUAAAAGAGCACACCCAUCUAUGUGGCAAAAUAGUGGGAAGAUUUCUGGGUAGAGGUGAAAAGCCUACCGAGCCUGGUGAUAGCUGGUUAUCCAAGACAGAAUCUUAGUUCAACCUUAAGCUUACCUAUAGAACUACCUAAUCCCCCUGUAAGCUUAACUGCUAGUCUAAAGAGGGACAGCUCUUUAGACACUAGGAAAAAACCUUACAGAGAGAGUAAAGCCCUCAAUCGCCAUAGUUGGCUUAAAAGCAGCCAUCAAUUAAGAAAGCGUUCAAGCUCAACACUAACCACCACAAAAAUACCAAACACAUAACUGAACUCCUCACACCACAUUGGAUUAAUCUAUCACCAUAUAGAAGCAAUAAUGCUAGUAUAAGUAACAUGAAUAUUUUCUCCACCGCAUAAGCCCAAAUCGGACCGAAAGCCUCACCGAUAUCUAACAGCCAGGCAUAACAAGCACAAACAAGCCCAUGCCACCUUCACUGUUAACCCAACACAGGCAUGCCUCAAGGAAAGGUUAAAAAAAGUAAAAGGAACUCGGCAAACUCAAACCCCGCCUGUUUACCAAAAACAUCACCUCUAGCAUUACUAGUAUUAGAGGCACUGCCUGCCCAGUGACACACGUUUAACGGCCGCGGUACCCUGAC
rnacentral:rRNA from 1 species